rnacentral:rRNA from 1 species
AUUGAACGCUGGCGGCAUGCUUUACACAUGCAAGUCGGACGAGUGGCGAACGGGUGAGUAAUGCCUCGGAACGUACCGGGUAGAGGGGGAUAACUAUCGGAAAGGACAGCUAAUACCGCAUACUAUUCGAGCGGCCGAUGUGUGAUUAGCUAGUUGGGGGGGUAAAGGCUCACCAAGGCGACGAUCACUAGCGGGUCUGAGAGGAUGACCAGCCACACUGGAACGGAGACACGGCCCAGACUCCUACGGGAGGCAGCAGUGGGGAAUUUUGGACAAUGGGCGCAAGCCUGAUGCAGCCAUGCCGCGUGUAUGAAGAAGGCCUUCGGGUUGUAAAGUACUUUUAGCAGGGAAGCGGUACCUGAAGAAUAAGCACCGGCUAACUACGUGCCAGCAGCCGCGGUAAUUC